CAACAGGUAAAAAACAAGAAACUUCCUGUCAUAACACUGAAUUGAGGCGCGUGCCACUCCUCAGCCUCCAUUCAUUUCCCAUUGCGCACUAUUGUGAGGAUUUCUCGAUAAAAAUCCCCGAAGUGUUCAAGGAGCACCAGUAUAUCCAAACUGAAGAUACUGUGGCUGGAGGAGGUCUCGGUGAUGCUGGUUUCCUCUUCUGCCCUCUGGAUGAGACCAGACCAGCACUGCAACAACCUGGCCAUGCAUAGCAAACAUAAGGCCAGCCAGCCCACAAACAGAGUCUCCCUCAUGUGAAAUUGAGCUCAGAUCACGAUUGGCAUGCAUGAUGUCGAGUGCCAUCCAGGACACAGGGAUAAGGUUAGUGAGUGAACCAAACAGAUGAAAAAACACACUGCUCUAAUCAGGAAGUGUCUGGCACUGUCAGAAUGGAUGCACUGAAUGGCCGCAAGUGAACUGAUCCAUGCAACUGGCAGAACCAAAGAGAGAGUUAGAAAGUAUCACACUGACCACAGGGCUGGAUCUGAAUAGGCUUUGCAUGAUAAUGAACUGGCAUUUUGGGUAAAAUAACAUUUAGUCUAUAGUCCUUCAUAUUCCUAUUUUACAGAGUCAUCUCUAUUGUUUAGAACCUUAACCAUGAUUUUUUUAUGGUUUAAUAAUCAUUUCAGAUCUCAUGAUGAAGUCUAGAAUAGAUGCCAAGUUAAUGUUUGUUACAAUCUUCAGAGCUUAUGACAUAAUGCACAAUCACGUCCUCAUUCAAGUGCAUCCAUUGACUGA